GCUCCCGUAACUCAACUGGAUAGAGUGUCAGCCUUCUAAGCUGAAAGUUGCAGGUUCGAGUCCUGUCGGGAGCG
rnacentral:tRNA from 1 species